rnacentral:rRNA from 1 species
UGGUGGAGCGAUUUGUCUGGUUAAUUCCGAUAACGAACGAGACUCUAGCCUAUUAAAUAGUUCGGGGACCCCCGCAAAGGGGCCCCGCUUCAACUUCUUAGAGGGACAGGUGGCGUUUAGCCACACGAGAUUGAGCAAUAACA